rnacentral:lncRNA from 1 species
UGCCCCUAGAUCAGUUUGGUCAGGUGACAGUGCCCGACUGCUCAGAUCGGUCAAAGCCAGUAGGAUUCAAUGUGUCAGGUAAAGAUCAUAAGUGGCCAAAUCUAGCUGGGGCUGAAGUAUUGAUCGGUCUACCGCUUGAAUAUCGGAGCAGUUUAGGGUCUCCAAACUGGAUCAACUUGGAUCAGAGCAACAAAAACAUGGCUUACAGUAGGAUCUCCGAAUAUGUCUAGAAAGAAAAUAGGAGAGAGAAUCUUAUCUCGAGUCUAGAUUUGGUUUGAUCCUGGUCAUGGGCUUGGUCCGAGUGGUUUGGAUCGACCAUUAGGAGAAAGCUCUAGAUCUAGUUAAACUGUGGGCUUGCUUAGAGAGAGAGAUACACGAUCUAAGGCUAGUUGAGCUUUUGGGCCUAAUCCACCUAGUUUUGGGCCUAAUUCACUUGGUUAGGUCCAAUCAGAGGCUUGGCGUAGUCCGGUCUGACCAAAAUCGAAAAAGAGAUAUUUAACCUGGGUC